UACAUAUUACUACAGUUCAAUGACUCAAGUUUUAAAUGCAUAAGCUUAAGGUCAUAACAGAAUUUAAACUAACUAUCAUAAUUGUAUGAACAUCAUGAUGAAUAUUUACAUUCUCUAAAAGAGUUUUAAUUUUACUUAGCUAAUACAGAAGAUGAUGGAUUCCCCAACAGAAAUCUUGAUGAUCGAACGAUUAAGGUGAAAAAAUUGAAGAAUUGCAUCAAUUGUUACAGAGAAUCGAUUUGCAAGCAGAAACAGGUGCUCAAAGUCAAAGAUAAGGGAAUACAACAGCCAUCCAUGAUCCUUUACAUGUAAAGUAAGUAGCUGUUCAUGAUGCUUAUAGGCAUAUACAAUCUAGUCUGGGCAUGUAAAACAGCAGCUGGUUCUAUUUUGAAAAUCUACAAAAUAGAGCUAAGGUCCUUUAAUCCAAGAAACUGCUAGUGUCUGAAGAGGAAAAUUUAAGACAGGACAUGAAAAUUGAUUUAAUGUCAAAUUGGAACAGUGAUUCUGUAAAUAAACUCGCCUGAUCACAAGACCUCGGAUUUGACUGAAUCUUACAUGGAUAGACCAAAGUCAUUUACUAGACUGUAAAUACUAGAGGCAGCUGAAAGCACAAGGCACAAAGCUGAGGUCCAAGUAAAUCAGAGAGGCCUUGUCACAAGAAAUGUACAGAACUUGCAUGUUUUUUUUCCUUAAGGGUAUAUGACAAAAUAUUGAGAUAUAUGUCAAUGAAAAUUACUUUGAAUUUAAAAAAGGGCCAAUUCAAUGGUACACUUUUGGAAUUUGCAAGAACAAAAAUACCUUCAUGUUUACUUUUGAAUUAUAGUUGACAAUCUUCACUUUAAGGGGAACCUCUGAAAAUAAGUCCAAUGGAGGGGUUUGGUUUAUUGAAUUCAAUUAUUUUUUAAAGAAAAACAGAUGAAAUAUUGCUCUUUAAUUUCAACAUUUGCAUUUUGCUAUUAAAAUUAUUUACAAGUGCAGCAUAUCCAUGACAUCAGAUUAUGUUAUUGUGUUUGAUUAAGCUACAUAUUUCUUUUUACUUAAACUUUCUGUUGACUUUAUUAGUUAAUAAAAUGCUGAAUAAUAAUUUGAGUGUGGCUCAUUCGAGUGUCUAGUGUUUCCUGUCAAUUUAUUUGAUGAUUUUACCAUAUUAUUUAUAAUCGCUUGCUCAAAGGGAGAUAACUUAUUGUAUUUUCACAAUAAAAUGCUGAAUAAUAAUUUGAGUGUGGCUCAUUCCAGUGUCUAGUAUUUCCUGUCAAUUUAUUUGAUGAUUUUACCAUAUUAUUUAUAAUCCCUUGGUCAAAGGUAGAUAACUUAUUGUAUUUUCACAUUAAAAUGCUGAAUAAUAAUUUGAGUGGCUCAUUCCAGUGUCUAGUAUUUGCUGUCAAUUUUUUUGAUGAUUUUACCAUAUUAUUUAUAAUCGCUUGGUCAAAGGGAGAUAACUUUUUGUAUUUUCACAUUAAAUCAUCUGCGAAGAGGAUUAUGUAAAAUGUGAAUUGUUGAAAACUAAUUUUAUGGUUCAAUAAAAUCAAAAUAAGUUACUGCCAUUCAUUAUAAAUAAAUUUCUAUCAAAAAUAAGGCUCAAAGAACUUUUUAUAUUACUAAUAUUAACAAUAACAAUGUACACACAUGUUGACGUGUUAAUACACAACGUCAGAGUGGGUGUGUCACCAUAAAAUGUAAACAUUGAAAAUAAAACUGAUACUUUUAACUAAUCAGGAGACAGUUAAUACACCAAAUAUAUUUUUAAACCUAUAAACUUAUUAUUUUUUUCACAUUUUAAGGUGCCUAUGUUUGCUAUUUGUUAUAACCCUAUUGUUAUGUUUCUUAAACCAUCUAUACAAGUAAGCAUGUUGAUUUGUCACUUACCAUUAUUUUAU